CUGGCUCAGGAUGAACGCUAGCGACAGGCCUAACACAUGCAAGUCGAGGGGCAGCACAAGGAGCAAUCUGAGGUGGCGACCGGCGCACGGGUGAGUAACACGUAUGCAACCUGCCUGUAAGCGGGGAAUAACCCGUUGAAAGACGGACUAAUACCGCAUAAUACUAAAUUACUGCAUGGUAAUUUAUUUAAACAUUUAUGGCUUACAGAUGGGCAUGCGCAUGAUUAGCUAGUUGGAGAGGUAACGGCUCCCCAAGGCAACGAUCAUUAGGGGUUCUGAGAGGAAGGUCCCCCACACUGGUACUGAGACACGGACCAGACUCCUACGGGAGGCAGCAGUGAGGAAUAUUGGUCAAUGGACGAGAGUCUGAACCAGCCAAGUCGCGUGCAGGAAGAAUGUCCUAUGGAUUGUAAACUGCUUUUGCAGGGGAAUAAAGUGCAUCACGUGUGAUGUUUUGUAUGUACUCUGCGAAUAAGGAUCGGCUAACUCCGUGCCAGCCGCGGC
rnacentral:rRNA from 1 species